CGGUUGGCGGAGAGUACGGCGCUCCAGUGGCAAGCUUUGCUCUGGCAGCGUCGUCUCUACCUCCAACUGCC